CCUACGGGUGGCAGCAGUGAGGAAUAUUGGUCAAUGGGCGUAAGCCUGAACCAGCCAAGUCGCGUGAGGGAUGAAGGGUCUAUGGAUCGUAAACCUCUUUUAUAAGGGAAUAAAGUGUGGGACGGGUCCGAUUUUGUAUGUACCUUAUGAAUAAGGAUCGGCUAACUCCGGGCCAGCAGCCGCGGUAAUACGGAGGAUCCGAGCGUUAUCCGGAUUUAGUGGGUUUAACGGGUGCGUAGGCGGCCUUUUAAGUCAGCGGUGAAAGGCUGUGGCUCAACCAUAGAAUUGCCGUUGAAACUUGGGUCCUUGAGUAUGUUUGAGGCAGUCGGUAUGCGUGGUGUAGCGGU
rnacentral:rRNA from 1 species